rnacentral:rRNA from 1 species
ACGCUCGACACCUACUGGAGGCAGCAGUGGGGAAUAUUGCACAAUGGGGGAAACCCUGAUGCAGCAACGCCGCGUGAAGGAAGACGGUUUUCGGAUUGUAAACUUCUGUUCUUAGUGAAGAUAGUGACGGUAGCUAAGGAGCAAGCCACGGCUAACUACGUGCCUGCAGCCGCGGUAAUCUGAGCGGGCUGGCAAGGC